GGGCAGGAUGCUGGUGAGAACUCUGUGUGCCACGAAGGGGCCCCUUGCCCUCCAGCGGAAGUCAAGAGAGAGGCGCAAGGAUGUCUGGAUCUUAGGGGAUGUGACAGUGACUCUCCUGAGUCAACAGUGACUCUCCUGCAAAAUCAGAAGGGAGAGGGCCACGGUGGUAAGUGUGGAAGCCUCUAGAGAACCCAGCAAAGCACCCACAAGAGAUAGCCCGUCCUGAAAGCCUGCUGGUCCAGAGAGCAGCAAUCACUGUGGCCGCGCCAGUCACAGAAGAGCCCUUCCGUUCCCUUUCCUCCUGCUCUUGUUCCCUGAACUCCAACACUGGGCAGGUUGGAUGUGGGGCGAGGGAUGGGACAAACGAAGGAGAAGCCCCACCGUGGGCUUCUCCUCUAGAGCAGGCCAGAGCUGCCGGAGGAGAAAAUACCAACUUUAAACCCACUGACAUGGUGACUAUAACAUGGGAUGGCCAUUUGAAUGACAGAGGACUUGUAUUCACUGAAAUUUGCUGUACAAGUUAUUGAACUUGCUCCAAUUUUCGAGCAAGGGUAGCAGAAGAACUUGUCCCACAGAAUAAACUGAAAAGGAUAGUGGAAAGCAAAAAUAAAAUCACUUUAUAAUUUGUUCAA